rnacentral:rRNA from 1 species
CGCGUAGGCGGUCUCGUAAGUCCGAUGUUAAAGAGCGGGGCUCAACCCGUCACGGCGUUGGAUACUGCGAGGCUUGACGGCUGGAGAGGUGAGUGGAAUUACCAGUGUAGCGGUGGAAUGCGUAGAUACUGGUAGGAACACCCAUUGCGAAGGCAGCUCACUGGACAGCACGUGACGCUGAGGCGCGAAAGUGUGGGGAGCAAACC